UUAAUAUGCAACUAAAAUAAAAAUAAAAAAAACGUAUAUAUACACAUACAUAUACAAACACACACACUUCCGUUCAAAGCACAGUGGCCAUGUCGGGUUACUACAGCUGAGUUUCAAUUCAUUUCAGUGGGAGCUGAGCUGCAGUACCCAGCACGAACACUACACUUUGAACGGAGCUGUGCUUCCUGUUCCAUGCAAAGCAUUAGCUCCAGUACCAGAAGUUGUGCGGAACAGCUGAUCAAUGGGGGUGCAGGGUGUCAGAACCUCACCUAUUAGAUAUUAAUGACCCAUCCUGAGGAUAGGUAAUCAAUAUCAGGAGCCCCUUUAAUACAUAUGUUCAAAUGCCCUGACACAGAUUAAGAUUUCCAGUUCUAAUUUCUCAUAGGCCCUUUAAAAACCAAAGCAGCAACCUUAAUUUUUUGGCUAUCAAUGGCAGUCAUUGCAACUACUGUUUCACUUUCAAUUCUUUUAAUAAAUCACCCUUAUGAUGUACAUUUCUAGGAGCCAGUAACAUGACAAGUCACAGGGCUUAGUCCUAUUCAUGCUUUUAAAGGGGUUGUACAGUAUUAGAAAACAUGGCUGGUUUCCCCGUCCAUAGGUUGUCUGCUAUUGCAGUUCAGCUCCAUUGGAGUCAGUGGGGCAAAGCUGCAGUACCGCACAAAAUCUGUGGACUGUUGUGGUGCUGUUUUUGGAAGAAAGCUGCCAUCUUUUUCAAAUCCUAAACAGCCCCUUUAAACAAUGUUAAUCCCCCCUACUGUAAAAUCAAUGUAGGAAUCUACUGAAUAUCAUUAAAUUAAAUGGGCCACAUUUAGUUUACAUUUGAUUUUGACAGAAACUGCACAGAAAGUUGCAUCUAAAAUUGUGUCAAAUUUGCACAAAAAUCUGCAAAAAUUUGUUUUCUCAUUUCAAAAAAAUAAUGGACUGGGAAAGUGGGCAUGGUACAGCAAAUUUGGGUGGAUUCACCCACUGUAAUCAAAUAUUUUUUGCUGCCAUUACAAAGAAAUAGCCACAAAAUGCCAUUUUGGCAAUUUUGCAGUAAUUGCAGCAAAAAAAGCAAACCAAGAUUUGAACACAGGGUGUGAAUGCUCACUUAAACUUACUUAUCAACGGCAAAGGUUAAAAAUGACAGAAAUUAGUGGCACAAAUGUAUGGUAGCUCAUAUUAGCGCUCAUAAGAGGAAAAUCAGACAAUUCCAAAUGCAUCAGAUUUAUUAAAAGGGUCAUCCAGCCAUCUGAAGUUUCUUAAAAACAGAAUAUAUAAAACAAUACAAGUAGUAAUGACUGCAUAUAACCUUAACAAUCCACUGCUAGUCUCUGUAUACUGUCCUGUGUUGACAUUUGACCACUGUAGCCAGUCAUUGGCUACAGCGUGACCUCAGUACUGUUAACACGCCAAUACUACAACCCAACGGUUGGCAGUGGUCACAUGUCCAUGUCAACACCUCAUUGCUGAAGGCCAGCGGAGAGAGACUAGCAAGGAACCGGGAAGCAAUGAACCAGAAGUGGAGGGGGAUCACUGGUAUUACUUCUUUUAUUACUUUAUAGGAUUUGAGAUU